rnacentral:rRNA from 1 species
AACGUAGGAGACAAACGUUAUCCGGAGUUACUGGGCGUAAAGGGCGUGUAGGUGGUUUUGUAAGUCUGGCGUGAAAUUUUUCGGCUUAACCGGGAAAGGUCGUCGGAUACUGCAAGGCUAGAGGACGGUAGAGGCGUGUGGAAUUCCGGGUGUAGUGGUGAAAUGCGUAGAGAUCCGGAGGAACACCAGUGGCGAAGGCGACACGCUGGGCCGUACCUGACACUGAUGCGCGACAGCAUGGGGA